UACGAAGGGUGCAAACGUUGCUCGGAAUUAUUGGGCGUAAAGAGCUCGUAGGUGGUUCGGUAAGUCGGAUGUGAAAUCUCCAGGCUCAACUUGGAGCGGUCAUUCGAUACUGCCGUGACUAGAGUUCGGUAGGGGAGUGUGGAAUUCCUGGUGGAGCGGUGAAAUGCGCAGAUAUCAGGAGGAACACCCGUAGCGAAGGCGGCACUCUGGGCCGAUACUGACACUGAGGAGCGAAAGCGUGGGGAGCGAACAGG
rnacentral:rRNA from 1 species